CUUUUAUUGUUAAUUAUUUGAUUUUAGUUUUUUAGUUUUCUUCCUAGAUAACAUUGUCAAAGUCAAAUGCAGUUGCUGUAAAUGCACUCAAAUUGGAUCUUGUGCUUCUAGUAAUUGAGCUUCAAGUGGUAUUUUGUCUAAUGAUGGACAUUCAUUUACUUGUUUUUUUUUUUUUUUUUCAUGAAUGCAGACAGAUGAAAUAAGACAGGAAUUUGAUGAAGAUAUGUCCAUCCUGCGUGCUUUCUCAAUUGUUUUUGAAAGGAGGCCAGAAUUGAGGAAGCUAAUUGGAGCAAGAUAUUUCAACAAAGGCUAUGUUUCGUAUUCGGGGCCACUCAACUCUUUAUUUGAAACGGCACUUGACCAUGAAGGUCAUGGCAAAGAUAUUAAAUCAAGUGGCUAGGUGGAAUGGCACAAAGGUUGCCGUAAAGAGACUUGACAAGGACAGCUAUUCAGACCCUGAAAGCAUACAUUGGACAUAGUGGCAUAAAAUCCAGAUAAAUUCUGAGUUGUUGCACUUGCAGCUGGUUCAAAUGUAACUCUUCUUGCAUAUCAGGUAAUAGUCUGAUACAUAACAUGUCAUAGAACUUGCAAUGGUUUUGUUUUUUCAAUUUACAGCAAGCAUUAAAUUUUAGGGAAAUUAUGUCACAAACCCCUUGUGCUUUCGUGACUUUUGACAUUAAAACCUCAGUUUUCAAUUUGAUGAAAUCAAGAAUCACAUGUUAAAUAUUUGUAAAUCGAUAACUUCUUUAGUUCUUUUGACUCUUAGUUUCAGAUUCGGCUUUCCUCAACCCUGCAAUUUCGCCUUCCUCGAUACCCUAAAUCUCCGAUCCAUCAUGUAAGUCUUUUAGUUUAGUGUAGAUGCAGUUCUGUCAAAAAGGUUCUAUUUUUUGAGAAGCUAGAUAUUGUUACUCAUGGUGAAAAUAAGGGUCAAGAAAUGGAAAUUGCAAACCAAAAAGUAUAGCAGGUUCUGAGAUCAAUAACAACAAGGGGUGAUGACAUAAUUUACCCUAAAUUUUAACAAGACAGUUUGACCCGUGUCGCUUGACUUUUUUACUCACUUGAGUAUGAUCUUGCUUUAACCACUGGUGGGUCUCAUUUUUCACUUUGUAGUUGCUCAUGCAAGUGCGGUAAUAUUUGUGAGAAAAAUUCAUAUGUUUGUGGGUCAGGAAUGUAACAAUCCAAGAACAUAAAUUUGGAUUUUAUGGUUCUACUUGGUUACUAAGAACUUGUCGAGAUAAUGAAGGGAGUUUUGAAUCUUUCUAUGUUUUUGUUUUUUUCAUCUAGAUUACUUGU